rnacentral:rRNA from 1 species
UACGUAGGUGGCACGCGUUGUCCUGAUUUACUGGGCGUAAAGAGCGCGCAGGCUGUCGUCCAAGUCGGAUGUGAAAGCCCCCGGCUCAACUGGGGAGGGUCAUUCGAUACUGUUCGACUCGAAGGCAGGAGAGGGAAGUGGAAUUCCGGGUGUAGUGGUGAAAUGCGUAGAUAUCCGGAGGAACACCAGUGGCGAAGGCGACUUUCUGGCCUGUUCUUGACGCUGAGGCGCGAAAGCUAGGGGAGCAAACGGG